rnacentral:tRNA from 1 species
GAGGAUGUAGCUCAGUGGCUGAGUUUGUGCUUAGCAUGCAUGAGGUCCUGGGUUCAAUCCCCAGUACCUGCA